rnacentral:rRNA from 1 species
GUCCGGGCGUUAUCCGGAUUUAUUGGGCGUAAAGCGGGCGCAGGCGGAAAGAUAAGUCUGAUGUGAAAGCCCCCGGCUUAACCGAGGAAUUGCAUCGGAAACUGUGUUUCUUGAGUGCAGAAGAGGAGAGUGGAACUCCAUGUGUAGCGGUGGAAUGCGUAGAUAUAUGGAAGAACACCAGUGGCGAAGGCGGCUCUCUGGUCUGCAACUGACGCUGAGGCUCGAAAGCAUGGGUAGCGAACA